AUAACUUGCAUUAUUUGAUUAAGCAUGCGAUGCCGUUCAGAGAUUCUAGCAUGUAACAUAACUUGCAUUGUUUCAUUAGACGAUUAGUGUCGCGUAGAGACUCUAACGUGUAACCGAUGUGAUCUCUCCGAUCUUAAGAUUUGGAUACAUCUACUGAUCUACACACAAACACAGUUACUUCAUUUUUUGGGAAAGAAAUACAUACACUGAUACAUAUAAGGACUGGGUCCGAAACAGCACACCCCAAAUCAAAUGCAGACACUCAAACAAACUUUAUCUAACAUCAUAAUUAAGUAAACAACUUAAGCCAAAUUAAGUGAAAGUUCCGGAGGAAUAAGCAUAAUUAACGUUACUUAAUUAGUGAUUAAUUAUGACGAUCGUCACUUCUUCAAGAAACCCUGAGCAACCUUAAGGUAAUCCCCAACCCCACCUGAUCCACCCUCCUCCUCCUCCUCCUCAUCCUCCUUUUUACUAGGUUUCUUCCUAGUCUCAUGCUCUCCGCUCACCGGAUAGUUCUCAUCAUCGUCUCUUCUGUCCUUCCCCAUACUAGACUUAUAAGACUCAGAAGAAUUGUGACUUCCUCCUCCGCCGCUUUCACCGUCACCGCCGCUGCCGUACUUGCGGAGCAUAUCCUCGGCCUUACCAACAUAACUCCCAAGUCCUUCUUUCUCGUCCAGCUUGCCAUAGUGUGCGGCACCGCUUAAGAUGUUACUAGCAGCCUCGGAAACCCUAGCUCUGUCGAUAUUUUCGUCGCCCCCUUUGUUCAUCGAAGAUUUGGCUGCUUCCGCCACAAUCUUUGCACUCGACAUCAGCUCACUCGUCGUCGGUGGCGCACGUCCCGGCUUCCCGUGGUGACCCUCCGUCGCGGACUUUCUCUCGCCGCCGUACUGAUCUUCCUGGUCUUUGUCCCC
rnacentral:lncRNA from 1 species